UCAGUUAUUGACAUUGGCAUAUAUAUAUAUAUAUAUAUGUGUGUGUGUGUGUGUGUGUGUGUGUGUGUAUGUCUUU
ensembl:miRNA